GACGAACGCUGCGGCGUGCCUAAUAUAUGCAAGUAGAACGCUGAAGAGAGGAGCUUGCUCUUCUUGGAAGAGUUGCGAACGGGUGAGUAACGCGUAGGUAACCUGCCUUGUAGCGGGGGAUAACUAUUGGAAACGAUAGCUAAUACCGCAUAACAAUGGGUGACCCAUGUCAUUCAUUUGAAAGGGGCAACUGCUCCACUACAAGAUGGACCUGCGUUGUAUUAGCUAGUAGGUGAGGUAACGGCUCACCUAGGCGACGAUACAUAGCCGACCUGAGAGGGUGAUCGGCCACACUGGGACUGAGACACGGCCCAGACUCCUACGGGAGGCAGCAGUAGGGAAUCUUCGGCAAUGGGGGCAACCCUGACCGAGCAACGCCGCGUGAGUGAAGAAGGUUUUCGGAUCGUAAAGCUCUGUUGUAAGUCAAGAACGAGUGUGAGAGUGGAAAGUUCACACUGUGACGGUAGCUUACCAGAAAGGCG
rnacentral:rRNA from 1 species